AUUGAACGCUGGCGGCAGGCCUAACACAUGCAAGUCGAACGAGUGGCGGACGGGUGAGUAAUGUCUGGGAAACUGCCUGAUGGAGGGGGAUAACUACUGGAAACGGUAGCUAAUACCGCAUACCAUCGGAUGUGCCCAGAUGGGAUUCGCUAGUAGGUGGGGUAAAGGCUCACCUAGGCGACGAUCCCUAGCUGGUCUGAGGGGAUGACCAGCCACACGGGAACUGAGAACCGGUCCGGACACUGACGGGAGGCAGGAGGGGGGAAUAUUGAACAAUGGGAGCAAGCCUGAUGCAGCAAUGCCGCGUGUAUGAAGAAGGCCUUCGGGUUGUAAAGUACUUUCAGCGGGGAGGCGUUACCCGCAGAAGAAGCACCGGCUAACUCCGUGCCAGCAGCCGGGUAAUAC
rnacentral:rRNA from 1 species